UAAAAUUCUAUCUCUCGAUCUUUUUGUUAUAAUGUUCAGGGUUGAUAGAUUUUCAAAAAUCGUGUCGCUCACUUUUAUGAAAGCUCGAGCGAACCGUCGGCACGUGCCUCGAACUUCCAUUCGAGCAAAUCAAUCUAAAAAUCGAGGAGAACAAAAUCUCUUUGCAGAAUCCAAUGAUCGUUAUUCGUCCGACGGUGAUCCAAUCGGAAGGAUAUCUUAAUGAUAAAAGUUGUUUUAUGUAUAAUACAAAUCGAUAAUCGAUUCUCUCAAAUCUUUUUAUCUAUUUCUUAACGUUUCUAUUCGAGAGUGGAACAAUUGCCAAGUUGCUUCAAAUUUUUAAUUACGAAAUAUUCGUAAUACCUUAAAUUUAAUUUAUUGAUUAUUUUAAAUUAAAUUUAUUUUUAAAAAGAACUAGAUAUCAAUAAAUUCAGCAUUCAAUUUCUAAAUUGAACUCUCUUAUUUUCGAUAAUAUUAAAUUUUGAAAAUAAUUUAAAUCAACCCUGAUACAAAACGUGCAAAUUUAUAUCUUAGUUUUUUCCAUUUAAUUUCCCUUCCAACAAUUAUUAUCCAUCUUGCAUUACUAUUUUCAAUACAAUUCACUCUAGUCAUAAUUAAUCCCGUAGAAUCCAUGGGAUUAAUCCUACGGGAAUUCGAACGUAAAAACGGGAACCAACGAAAACAACGAUCCCUCUCCACGACUAUUAUUAAAAAUUAAAAAUAUUAUUAAAAUCAAAUUCAACAAUACGCUUCCCUCUCCCUCCCUCCGAAUCGUAAUUCAUUCGACCCGUCUCCCGUAUCGCAUCGCGCUAGGCUGACCACCGCUGCCAUCUGUGGAUGGCCGAUCUGACCACCAGUGUUAAAUUACCGCUUCACAUUAUUAUAUAAACCCGUAACCGGGUUUCUCGAUCGCGCGAAAACGAGGCCGUUACCUCGCCUCGUAAUUAAACCGCCUUCCUUUACCGUUGCUUGUACACAUCGAGAAAAGUGAAGAGGGAGGAUGGAAAAUGUGCGUGUGUGCGUGUGCAAGCGCUUUAAUCGCGCUUGUCCGACCGGAUCCCUUUUCCAGGGAUCUCUCGUUGAGUAUUGAUCCUCGAAUAAGAGAAGCGAAAGCCUUUACGGCCAAGGGAUUAAAUAGGAGAGUUUAAAUCGCGAUUCGGGAGGAGGAGGAGGAGGGAGAGGGAUGGUGGAAGAAGAGGAAGUUGUUUUUUUUUGGAAUUAGAGAGGAGAGCAAGGAUUUAUAAGAGAGUCGUUAUCCUUGUUUACACGCACACUUUGUACAUGUAUAUUCGUGCGAUUACGAUGCGAAGCAAAUUUAAUGGGCAAAUUUAAGAGGGAAGAAUCGUAAUUUUAUUUUUAUUUCGAUAAUUGGUUAAUUCUAACGAUUUUUAAUGCUUCGUUGAAUUUUAGCAAAGUGGAAGAAAUAGAGAGCAUUCAUUCGUUUGUACGUACUAUUAUGAAAAGAUGAUCGUUUUGAUUUUCAUGAAUAUUAUUCGCGUAAAUAACGAUACUUAAUAAGCGUAUUACCAUUUUAACAAUUUAAUUAUACAAGUGGAUAAUAACGGAUCGGAACGAUCAAGUUCUCAUCAAAUUUCCUAUUUCACCUACGCACAUACUCAUCAAUUCUCAUUCUGUUUCCAAAACCCGAGGUCAGGGAAUUACAAACAGUUCGUACGCGAUAUAACAAAUGUUUUCCUCACUUAAUACGCUCCUCGUCCAUUACGAACAUCUCGUUACAAAACAUAACACGUAAUUGUUAGCGAAUCUUUCACCAAACAAUCGACGACGGGAGGGGGGAGGAGGGGGGAUCCGUGUCAACGCUUAAAUUCGUAUCCGUGUGCGUAUUAUUUACACUCGUCUCGUAUGAACGAUUUUCGUACGAGGCGGCGAUGUUUCGAAACACGAAGCAUCGCUUCUCUCGGCGACGCACGUUCCGCCUCAGUUCUGCCGCCAUUGAGACAGCUGCCAUUUUCGGUGCGCGCUAUGCCUGUUAACUUUUCGUGCACAGCCUCGGUUGGAAGUGACUGAAAUCGGUUGUUGGACGAGAAUGUUGGAAGAGCGUGGCUAUAUUACUUGGUUUACCCAUUUUUGUACUCCGUGAUACGUGUAACGUGGGUCAACCAACAAUAUCGAACAUGUACGUUCGCACAAUUUAAACUCGUAAUACAGUGUAAUAUUGUAAGAAAGGUCACUUUGGGAACGUAAUGGCGUCAACUGUCUUCAAACAAAGCUCUAUCAAACAGUCAGCAACGAAGUCAAACAUGUAGAAUCACGCUUUAAAGAUCUAUAAAGAUCUCAACGCAGCAUGAUAUGUAGCUAACAGAGAUCACUUUGAGGAAAUAUUGGAGUUAAUCAACGUUUUCUUUCGCUUCAAACCAACUUCAACUUGAAGAGAUAUUCCCAUAAUUCACAUUUAUGAAAAUCGUAAUACUUUAGCUAAUAAUGCCACUUUAGAAAACGCAUGCGUAAAAGUUUAUCAAUGUUAUCCUCCAAUUCAAACGGACUUCAACCUCGUUCAAGAGGCCAAUCAACGACAUCAAACACGUUUCAACUUCGUUCAAAGGGUGCCAACCAACGACAUCAAAUCCGUGCAAAUCCUCCAUCUCCGCCAAGCGAAGCAAACUUCGUUAACCACGUGAUUCGACCGCCACUUCAAAAUCGUCUAGAACUACAAUUUACGAGCAGCGCGUGCAUACGAUGCUGAUAAACGCGACUCCCUUUAAUGACCCAUUCCUAGUCCACCCUGAUGGGCCUCAUCGCCUUCUCCUUCCCACUUUCUUUCCCCCCCCCUAUCUUUAUGCAGAUGGCGGAGACCGCGGUUAAUUUCCAACCUCCUGGAUGGCCUCGUUCAUUCUAAUUUCCCCUCGAACGUCCCUGAUUGGAGUCCACAACGAUUUGCACGUUGCACCUGUAUCCACGUGUUUCACUUCGAGGAAUAAUAUAUCCGAGUAAAAAAAUUUUUUAUUUUUUCCGGCUAUUGUUGCGGAUGCAUUCUUCCUGCUCGAUGAAAAGAAUUCCAUGGUUCGAUUAUUGUUAUUGUUAUCGAAAAGAUGAUACGUACGUUUCUUGGAAUAAGAAAAUGUGAUACGGAAUUUAUUAUUCCAGGAAUGUGGCACGUGCCGCGUUUGAAAACAUUCUGUUUAUUAUACGAGUGUAAUAAAUGGAACUAUAAAUUUGAAAUUUUGGUUAUGGGGAUAUGUUUACUUGAAAAUGUAAUACAAGAAGAUAUAUAUAUAUAUAUAUUAUUCUAUAUUGUGUGAAACUUGGAUAGAUUGUUCUGUAUUAUGUGGGUCACUUGUUUCCAAAAUGGGAGAUAUAUUCCACAGUUGAAUAUUUUAUUAGGUGAAAUAGAUGGAAGAUCUUGAUGCUUUUCUAUCAUAUUGCGAAUGAUGAAUAUAAUAGUAACGUACCGUGUCUAAAAAAUAAUUCAGGGAAUAAUUUAUUUUCAAAAAAGAAAUUUAUUAAUUGUGCAGAAAAUUUCUAACGUUUAAUCCAGGAAAAAAAGAAAAACUCAAUUUCACCGACAAGAGAAAAGCAUUAAAAUAGAAACAUUAUUCCUGAGAAAGUUGGCAUUCCCACUGACUCGAUUAAUUUUCUUCUCAAGGAUCCAAAGAGUUAUUAUUUUUCUGCCACACCUGCACCACUGCUUUCCAAAAAGAAACAAAAAAUCGUUAAGAGCAAAGCGUUUAACGAAGGAGAACGAUACAUGGAAAAGUAAACGAGAGGAUCGAGAACAGCGAAUCUCGAUUCUCCUUCGAAGAUGUAGGUGGAGUCAAGAGAGAGGAGUAGAUUAUCUUGCCAGACGGUGAAAUGGCAAAGUUCUACGUGUCGGAGAGCAAAGACGAGGCUGGAGAAUAUUAUCCGUGAGAGGAAAAGAGAAAGAAAUCUAACUCUAAUUUUGAAGGCAGAAUAGAAAAAGAUGGAAAGAGAAAGGAGACUUUUUUAAAUGAAAAGAAGAAAAAAGAAAGCUGUUCUAUUUUAAAAGUAAAAAAAGGAAAAAGAUGAGGGGAGAAAAGGUAAAAAAAGAGAGAGAGAGAGAAAGAGAAAGCUUUCUACGCCUUGGUUUGGGAAGCUGCAGACACAGCUGUGCCAGAACUGCAAUGACACGCCCCCUCACCCCAAUCUCUCCUCCUCUAUAGGUUCGUCUCUUUUCUUCCACCCUCCAGACGACGACCAGGGUAGGUUCUCUCUCUCUCUCUCUGGUGUUCUGGCUAGCGAGGUCGAUUCGGAUCCUUGUCAAGAGUUUUCUCUGAUAGUGAGGGAGGAAUACAUGUGCACAAGUUAUUGUCCAUGAGUAUCUUUGAACUUGGUAAAAUGGGAUUAGAAAAACUUAGAUUUUCGUCGAGUAAUUAUUAAUUCUCAAAUAUUUUGUUGAUACGUCCACAACUGUUUAACUCAUUUAAAAUUGACUUAUAUUUUUCAAUUACUUUAAACAAUUCUUAUAUUUUUGUCAUUUUAUAUCUAUACAUGUCGUUUCAACAAUAUUUUCUUUCAACAAAGUGAAUACUUAUAGAUGAUAAUAUGUUUUAACUCGACUAAUAUUCCUAUUACGUUCCCGAAAUAAACCUAACCAUAUUUUUAUCUACCUUAAAAAAAGUAAACAAAAAAAUUCGACACAAGAUUAAUCUCAACAAUUACUCCAUCUCGUUUCAAAAAUUUCUCCAACUUGCUGGAAACACCCUCCAGUCCACUCCGCACAUUUCUCCCAACGCCAUAUAUUCCUCCUAGCCAGGUCCACUCUGGAGCGUCUGGGACCCGAACGAUCUCGCCCCAACACAGCCAACCCUCCAACCAACACACAACACCGACUCUGCAUCUCCGUGGUGACGAUACCCAGAACAGCGGUGGUGGAGCUCGGCGGUGGUCCUUCACCCCUCUGCUCGCCAGCAUCACGCAUCAGAUCGAUACGCGGCCGUUGCCUUCGCCUCUCUCUCUCUCUCUCUUCCCCCUCUCUCUUCCUUCCCCUCCUCUUGCCACCUCCAAAGGAUCUCGAUUCGCGUAAUCGCGCCUCUUCCCAACGAUUGCGGCCACUGCUGCACAGACGAUCGUUUCGAAGGGGCCAGCUGCCGCUGCCGGGGAAAAUUACGCUUGGAGAAUUUCGCGCGGAAGAGAGAAGGAAGGAGAGGUGGAGGCGGCGAUGCGUGCAUUGUUGGAGAGAAAUUGGUAUUCUUUUUGAUGCGGAAGGUGUCGGUUAUUGGAUGGCUCGAGAGUUUUUGGCGGGGUUCCAAGUUUUAUUUGGAGGAAUGAAUCGAGAAGGGGAUUGGAUAUGUAUGGGCGAUGACUGAAUCGAUGGCAGUUGAUUGAAAGAUGGAAAGUUUUUUUUUUUGAUUGAGAUCGGGGUGGAGGAUGAGCGAGUGACGAUAGACAGUUUUUUUUGGAAUGGAUAAUCAAUUUGUGGCGUUAACCUUUCAUUAAAAUCAAUAUACAUGAUAUUGUACGAAUUUAAUCUCGCGAGAGAUUAUAAUAAUAAUUUUAAUUUUAUCUCUCUCGUGUAAAAAUACCCGUGAUGAAAUAUUCAUUUUUCAAAUUCAAGUUUAUAUAAAGAGAGAAAAAGAAAGGAGUUGAGAUGUCGCAUUAUUAUAGAAUUUCUUGUAAUUAAAAAUUUAACUAUGUGAUGUAAAAAAUGAUUGGAAAUGAUUGGAAGUACAGAUUGAGAAUCCAUGUUUUUUAAGAUAAGUUAGUCGAUAAGAGCCUCUUCGUUGUAUCGUUAACACGAUCAUUUUCAGAUACGUCGUAAACCAAAGUAGAUGAUAUCGUCGAUGAAUCAUUUCCAGCCAACAAUCUCGUCGCAAUAAAAUACAGACGAACGACAUUCUUCCUUUCAUCUUAAAAAUCUCUUUCCACUUCAUCUCCAUUACUUCGGUAUACGUAUCAAGGACCUGGAUGCAAGAACAGAUGCUGCUGUUGCUUUACAAGUGGCUGCUUCCGUGGCUGACCAAAACAAAUUCACUUUUUCCCGUAUAUAUUUCUGCCCCCAUUUUAUCCCUUAACACUCCUAUUUAAUCUUUAUGCAGGAUACUUUACGUUCAGAAAAUUUCUUCUAUUCGGAUAGUUCUGUUUAUACGAAUCUUACUUCUAAACGUUUUAUCAUUUUCAUGAGCAAAAAGAGGUAUUUGAUCCGGAAUAUUAAUGCUGACCAGCUCACCAAUUAUACCAUUUAAUAUACUGUAUUAUAUUAUCAACCGAUAUAUCGAAAGUAUAUCACAGAUUGUUAAAUAAUAUGAUAUGAUCAAUUAAAUAAAAUAAUUAGUAUA